rnacentral:rRNA from 1 species
CAGUAGUCACGAGUUUGAUCCGUGGCUCAGAACGAACGCUGGCGGCAUGCCUAACACAUGCAAGUCGAACGAGACCUUCGGGUCUAGUGGCGCACGGGUGCGUAACGCGUGGGAAUCUGCCCUUGGGUUCGGAAUAACUUCGGGAAACUGAAGCUAAUACCGGAUGAUGACGUAAGUCCAAAGAUUUAUCGCCCAAGGAUGAGCCCGCGUAGGAUUAGCUAGUUGGUGAGGUAAAGGCUCACCAAGGCGACGAUCCUUAGCUGGUCUGAGAGGAUGAUCAGCCACACUGGGACUGAGACACGGCCCAGACUCCUACGGGAGGCAGCAGUGGGGAAUAUUGGACAAUGGGCGAAAGCCUGAUCCAGCAAUGCCGCGUGAGUGAUGAAGGCCUUAGGGUUGUAAAGCUCUUUUACCCGGGAUGAUAAUGACAGUACCGGGAGAAUAAGCUCCGGCUAACUCCGUG